rnacentral:tRNA from 1 species
UCCCUGGCAGUCCAGUGGUUAGGACUUGGUGCUUUAACUGCCAAGUGUGCGAGUUCAAUCCCUGGUCAGGGAA